CACGGCCCAGACUCCUACGGGAGGCAGCAGUGGGGAAUAUUGCACAAUGGGCGAAAGCCUGAUGCAGCGACGCCGCGUGAGGGAUGACGGCCUUCGGGUUGUAAACCUCUUUCAGCAGGGAAGAAGCGAAAGUGACGGUACCUGCAGAAGAAGCGCCGGCUAACUACGUGCCAGCAGCCGCGGUAAUACGUAGGGCGCGAGCGUUGUCCGGAAUUAUUGGGCGUAAAGAGCUCGUAGGCGGCUUGUCACGUCGGUUGUGAAACGCCCGGGGCUUAACCCCGGGU
rnacentral:ncRNA from 1 species